UAAUUUGGCCUUGACAUGGACUUUAAAUU
rnacentral:piRNA from 1 species